GCCGCGUUCGUCUAAUGGCUAGGACGCUGCCCUCUCACGGCAGUAAUACGGGUUCGAAUCCCGUACGCGGUA
rnacentral:tRNA from 1 species